AUUGAACGCUGGCGGCAUGCCUUACACAUGCAAGUCGAACGGCAGCACGGGAGCAAUCCUGGUGGCGAGUGGCGAACGGGUGAGUAAAGUAUCGGAACGUGCCCAGUCGUGGGGGAUAACGUAGCGAAAGUUACGCUAAUACCGCAUACGAUCUAUGGAUGAAAGCGGGGGAUCGCAAGACCUCGCGCGAUUGGAGCGGCCGAUAUCAGAUUAGGUAGUUGGUGGGGUAAAGGCUCACCAAGCCGACUAUCUGUAGCUGGGCUGAGAGGACGACCAGCCACACUGGGACUGAGACACGGCCCAGACUCAUACGGGAGGAAGCAGUGGGGAAUUUUGGACAAUGGGCGAAAGCCUGAUCCAGCCAUGCCGCGUGCAGGAUGAAGGCCUUCGGGUUGUAAACUGCUUUUGUACGGAACGAAAAGGUUUGGCCUAAUAAGCUGAGCUCAUGACGGUACUGUAAGAAUAAGCACCGGCUAACUACGUGCCAGCCGCCGCCGUAA
rnacentral:rRNA from 1 species